CAACCCUCGAGCCCCUGUGGCCCGGCGUUGGGGAUCUGCCACGGCAGGCCCCUAAAACCAGUGGCGGACCCGAAGGCCCUCUCCUUUGCGCAGUAGCAUCAGCCUCGCAUUGGGAUCCCUCGGCGUCCUGCCUCUAAACCCCCCACAAGUCCGCUUCGGCGGCACCAA
rnacentral:misc_RNA from 1 species